rnacentral:misc_RNA from 1 species
GAUGAAGAACGCAGCGAAAUGCGAUAAGUAGUGUGAAUUGCAGAAUUCAGUGAAUCAUCGAAUCUUUGAACGCACAUUGCGCCCCUCGGUAUUCCGUGGGGCAUGCCUGUUCGAGCGUCAUUUACCCCUCAAGCACUGCUUGGUGUUGGGCGUCUGUCCCGCUUCGCGCGCGGACUCGCCCCAAAGGUAUUGGCAGCGGUCGUGCCAGCUUCUCGCGCAGCACAUUGCGCUUCUCGAGGCGGUCGAUCGGCGUCCACGAAGCUCACCUCCACCGUUUGACCUCGGAUCAGGUAGGGAUACCCGCUGAACUUAAGCAUAUCAUAAGCGGAGGA